UACAGAGGGGGCAAGCGUUGUUCGGAAUUACUGGGCGUAAAGGGCGCGUAGGCGGCCGCUUAAGUCGAACGUGAAAUCCCCGGGCUCAACCCGGGAACUGCGUCCGAUACUGGGGGGCUUGAAUUCGGGAGAGGGAUGCGGAAUUCCAGGUGUAGCGGUGAAAUGCGUAGAUAUCUGGAGGAACACCGGUGGCGAAGGCGGCAUCCUGGACCGAGAUUGACGCUGAGGCGCGAAAGCCAGGGGAGCAAACGGG
rnacentral:rRNA from 1 species